rnacentral:rRNA from 1 species
UACAGAGGGUGCAAGCGUUGUCCGGAAUCACUGGGCGUAAAGGGCGCGUAGGCGGCCCGAUAAGUAGGGGGUGAAAUCUUGCGGCUCAACCGCAAGGCUGCCUUCUAGACUGUCGGGCUUGAGCACAGUAGAGGCAGGUGGAAUUCCCGGUGUAGCGGUGGAAUGCGUAGAGAUCGGGAAGAACAUCGGUGGCGAAGGCGGCCUGCUGGGCUGUUCUUGACGCUGAGGCGCGAAAGCUAGGGGAGCAAACGGG